UACGUAGGGCGCAAGCGUUGUCCGGAUUCAUUGGGCGUAAAGAGCGUGUAGGCGGCCAGGUAGGUCGGUUGUGAAAACUGGAGGCUCAACCUUCAGCGGUCGACCGAAACCAUCUGGCUAGAGUCCGGGAGAGGAGAGUGGAAUUCCUGGUGUAGCGGUGAAAUGCGCAGAUAUCAGGAAGAACACCCGUGGCGAAAGCGGCUCUCUGGAACGGUACUGACGCUGAGACGCGAAAGCGUGGGGAGCGAACAGG
rnacentral:rRNA from 1 species